GAUGAAGAACGCAGCGAAAUGCGAUACUUGGUGUGAAUUGCAGAAUCCCGUGAACCAUCGAGUCUUUGAACGCAAGUUGCGCCCGAAGCCAUUAGGCCGAGGGCACGCCUGCCUGGGCGUCACACGUCGUUGCCCCCCCAUCUACUCCUUCGGGAUUGCGGGGGGCGGAUGAUGGCCUCCCGUGCGCCUCGUCGCGCGGUUGGCAUAAAUGCCAAGUCCUCGGCGACGCACGCCACGCCAAUCGGUGGUUGCGAAACCUCGGUUGCCCGUCGUGUGCGGUCGUCGCGCAUCGAGGGCUCGAAAAAAUUGCCGGGCUCCGGCUCGGCUUUCAACGCGACCCCAGGUCAGGCGGGGUUACCCGCUGAAUUUAAGCAUAUCAAUAAGCGGAGGA
rnacentral:misc_RNA from 1 species